rnacentral:rRNA from 1 species
UACGUAGGGUGCAAGCGUUAAUCGGAAUUACUGGGCGUAAAGCGUGCGCAGGCGGUUAUGUAAGUCAGGUGUGAAAUCCCCGGGCUUAACCUGGGAACUGCAUUUGUGACUGCAUAGCUAGAGUACGGCAGAGGGGGAUGGAAUUCCGCGUGUAGCAGUGAAAUGCGUAGAUAUGCGGAGGAACACCGAUGGCGAAGGCAAUCCCCUGGACCUGUACUGACGCUCAUGCACGAAAGCGUGGGGAGCAAACAGG